GUCAUCCUGCGCCAGUAUUGCGCAAUAAUGCGUAAUGAGAGGAUAUGGUUACUUUCUGAAGGAAUGAGGACUCUAGACACCGUAUAUGAAAGCACAGAUACAGUGAAAGGACAACAAUAUGUCAAGUUAUCAAGGACCUAGAAUACAGCAGUGAGACAUGAUGACAACAUUUGAGCUUCAUACCCAUGUGAGCAUGACAUUACAAGAAGAUGACCAACGUGGGAAAAUGAUGGUUAAGAUCAUCUGACACAGUUCACUUGCAGUUACAGAAAGGGAAUCACCAUUUUAAAAAAAUCCACAGUUAUGUCUAAACGUGUUCUUUUAAUGACAUUAAAGCCCGUAAAUUAA